GCCGAGUCGAGCGGUAGAGACACAGCAGGGAGACUUUUCACACGUGGCGGUCGCUAAAGGAUUUUGUAGAUAUUCCCUAAAGAAGAUCUGUGGCGUAGCAUGUCGUCUUUUUCCCAAUGGGGAGACGACGGGAGACCGGGUCGGCACCCCGCAGCGAAGUUUAUUUAACUGCCAGUGAACCGUUCCUGCGAGUGACAGCCUCGGUUUGUGACACGGAUUCAGAAGAAGAGAGACGCGCCUUCGGGCAGCGGAUUAGGGCUAACAAAGUCAGAAUUGUGUAUGUGACAGUAAAAAAUAUGGACAUCUCUUCCCCGGCAGAGAUGGACGACUACACUUAACCAAACCAGCAUACGAGAGCUUUUAAUAACGGUCAUCCGCUCAAGUUAAAUAUCCUGGUUUGUGAAUAAAGACACUGAAACUCAUCUUCCAGCUUCAAGUUCAAACACUCUUGAAAUAAUAGUAAUCAGUUUGUUCUCUCCUCUGGAUGAAAUGCAGAAAACGGCAGCUGUUCCUAAGAAGAGUAUUUUGUCAAAGAAGAGUUGGUCCGUUUGAUAUGCAUAAAAACGAGGCAAUAGAAUAGUCAAAGGUGGAUGGAAGCUUUGCCCUGUCUCUGGAAAUAUAGUUCCCGAAACCAGAUUGACAGAACACAAUAGA